rnacentral:lncRNA from 1 species
GAUGAAUUGGUAGAGGUGACCGAAGAAAGCAGCGAUGAAAGCGAGGAGUACGAUUGCCAAUCCAUAAUAUCAACAUACUCUAAUCUCGAUAACCACCCUGGUAAAAUCAAUGCUCCAUUGUCAGCCAGGCAGAAGAAGCUUAGUGAAACAGUAUCUAAAGCAUUGAAUUCAAAUGGCAAUAUCAUUACCCUCCAAGGAAGAGGAAUGCUUCCAGUUGAGUUUCUACCUGGAAGGAAAGCUGAGCAAACCGUUGUUGAAGCUGAAAUCCCGAAAGCUGAACCGAUCAAGAGGAAGCCUCAUGGUCAAGAGUCGAAGGAAGAGAA